GCCUGCACUUAUCUAUGGGCGAGGGACAGCUUUUUGCAAGCCGCUCAUUGAUACCGAGGCUGAAGGACAGGCAGGAGGCACCCAGCUUAGCCUAGCCCAGUUGACACCUGGAAGAAAGCAAAGCAAAGCAAACCAAGCCACCUGGGGAAAUGAUUUUCAUCACAACCAGCAGUUGUAUCCUCUUUGGGAAAGUUCCAGACACAUAGGAAUUGCUCGAUGGAUGAGUUGGACCUAGCUGGCAGGACUUGAACCCCCAAGAAGUGAAAGAGCCACGGCAAAGAGUCACACGCAUCUGGGGUCACGAGCCUGGAGAAGGCACCUGGAGGCUUCCCGAUGCAACAUGGCCCCAUGGAGAACUGUGUUGGAUCCGCCCCACUUCUCCUUGGCAGAGAACAAGGUCAGAGGUGGGGACACAGAGCUGAGAGGGAGCUGAGGAGACAGGGCAGCUACAAGCAUGUGUUCGGUGGCUGCCCAGUGACAGCACCUCCUGUCCCCCUGGCCUGAGAAAGCCCAGAAAGCAUCUGCGCCUCUCCUCCACUCUCUCUUCCUUGCCUCCUCGCGUCCCCUGGCGGCCUGCUUCCCACGCAGCUUUUACCUCAGUCCCAUGGGAGCAGUGGGCCAAGUCCUGGGCCUGGGCACUGAGCACUCUAGCGUGGGCCUUACUUGCUGCCUGGUGGGCUGGGGGACCUCACAUCAUGGCACACCUCCUUGCUGAAGGAUGGAAAG